rnacentral:rRNA from 1 species
UCGAGAAUUUUUCUCAAUGGGCGAAAGCCUGAAGGAGCGACGCCGCGUGGGGGAUGAAGGGCUUCGGUCCGUAAACCCCUGUCAUUUGCGAACAAACCUUUUGGUUGAACAGGCCAAGAGCUGAUUGUAGCGAAAGAGGAAGGGACGGCUAACUCUGUGCCAGCAGCCGCGGUAAUACAGAGGUCCCAAGCGUUGUUCGGAUUCACUGGGCGUAAAGGGUGCGUAGGUGGCUGGGUAAGUUUGAUGUGAAAGCCCGCAGCUUAACUGCGGAAUGGCAUUGAAUACUAUCCAGCUGGAGGGUCGGAGGGGAGACUGGAAUUCUCGGUGUAGCAGUGAAAUGCGUAGAUAUCGAGAGGAACACCAGUGGCGAAGGCGAGUCUCUGGACGACUCCUGACACUGAGGCACGAAAGCUAGGGGAGCAAACAGGAUUAGAUACCCCCGUAGUCC